UGAGACAGAGAGGGUAAGAUGUGAAAGGUGAUAAACAGUGGAGAAGAAGUAAAUAUGUUCUUCCUUUUACUUCUUUUAUAAUUUUGUUUUUAUUUUGAAGAUGAGAUGACAACAAAAGAGGAUAUGUGUAUUUGGGGAAAUUCAGAGAGAGAGAGAGAACGAUAAGUCUUGAAGAAAAGCCUAUCUCUCCUUCAAUUCCUUUUUCUUUUUUUUUAUUCAUUGAUUCUGAUAGAGAGUAGCGGCUGCAUUGGCCAAUAGUU
rnacentral:lncRNA from 1 species